GUGGCGGACGGGUGAGUAACGCGUAGGAAUUUGCCCGCUAGAGGGGGAUAACUUAGGGAAACUUAAGCUAAUACCCCGUAAUGUCUACGGAUUAAAGUAUGGGACCUUCGGGCCAUACGCUAGCGGAUAAGCCUGCGUUGGAUUAGCUUGUUGGUGGGGUAAAGGCCUACCAAGGCGAUGAUCCAUAGCUGGUCUGAGAGGAUGAUCAGCCACACUGGGACUGAGACACGGCCCAGACUCC
rnacentral:rRNA from 1 species